rnacentral:rRNA from 1 species
GAUGAACGCUGGCGGCGUGCCUAAUACAUGCAAGUCGAGCGAACGGACGAGGAGCUUGCUUCUCUGACGUUAGCGGCGGACGGGUGAGUAACACGUGGAUAACCUACCUAUAAGACUGGGAUAACUUCGGGAAACCGGAGCUAAUACCGGAUGAUAUUUUGAACCGCAUGGUUCAAUAGUGAAAGACGGUCUUGCUGUCACUUAUAGAUGGAUCCGCGCUGCAUUAGCUAGUUGGUAAGGUAACGGCUUACCAAGGCAACGAUGCAUAGCCGACCUGAGAGGGUGAUCGGCCACACUGGAACUGAGACACGGUCCAGACUCCUACGGGAGGCAGCAGUAGGGAAUCUUCCGCAAUGGGCGAAAGCCUGACGGAGCAACGCCGCGUGAGUGAUGAAGGUCUUCGGAUCGUAAAACUCUGUUAUUAGGGAAGAACAUAUGUGUAAGUAACUGUGCACAUCUUGACGGUACCUAAUCAGAAAGCCACGGCUAACUACGUG